CUUGCACCUGAUUGACGAUGGAUCACCAGUGAGUGGCGGACGGGUGAGUAACACGUAGGUAACCUGCCCCGGAGCGGGGGAUAACAUUUGGAAACAGAUGCUAAUACCGCAUAACAACAAAAGCCACAUGGCUUUUGUUUGAAAGAUGGCUUUAGCUAUCACUCUGGGAUGGACCUGCGGUGCAUUAGCUAGUUGGUAAGGUAACGGCUUACCAAGGCGAUGAUGCAUAGCCGAGUUGAGAGACUGAUCGGCCACAAUGGAACUGAGACACGGUCCAUACUCCUACGGGAGGCAGCAGUAGGGAAUCUUCCACAAUGGGCGCAAGCCUGAUGGAGCAACACCGCGUGAGUGAAGAAGGGUUUCGGCUCGUAAAGCUCUGUUGUUGGAGAAGAACGUGCGUGAGAGUAACUGUUCACGCAGUGACGGUAUCCAACCAGAAAGUCACGGCUAACUACGUGCCAGCAGCCGCGGUAAUACGUAGGUGGCAAGCGUUAUCCGGAUUUAUUGGGCGUAAAGCGAGCGCAGGCGGUUGCUUAGGUCUGAUGUGAAAGCCUUCGGCUUAACCGAAGAAGUGCAUCGGAAACCGGGCAACUUGAGUGCAGAAGAGGACAGUGGAACUCCAUGUGUAGCGGUGGAAUGCGUAGAUAUAUGGAAGAACACCAGUGGCGAAGGCGGCUGUCUGGUCUGCAACUGACGCUGAGGCUCGAAAAGCAUGGGUAGCGAACAGGAUUAGAUACCCUGGGUAGUCCAUGCCCGUAAAACGAUGAGUGCUAGGUGUUG
rnacentral:rRNA from 1 species